CCCGCCCCCGAGCCGCGAGCCGUGCGGAGCCUGGGCCCGGGAAGCCCCCAGCGCCAUACACCCCACCCCCAUUCUAGCGCCCUUCACUCACUUUAGGGGAAUUCCAACCAUGGAGAAAAGGGGUCCUGCCCUUGCCCCUCGUCCCCCUCUUCCUCCCUCCAACAGGGCAGACUCUUCUUCGAUAGGAGACUUGGAAGAAAAGGAGAUGCCAGGCCUUGCGCGUUUGGGGAUCCUCUCUGGACAAGGCCACAGAGUGAAAACACCAGGCUGUGGCAUCCCUCUCUGGCGAUCUGUGGGAUACUGCUGGGGUGUUUUCCUCCCAUCAGCUUGACACUAAGGAGUGCCGUGAGGAGAUCAUAGUUGCUUCAGCCAUGGUCUAUGCAGACCACACUGGGAUGACCUGGGAAUCUGUUUUACACACUUUAGAGCCCUUUGGAUCCCUCCAAUGGACUCUCCCCUGCAUCAAACACAAUCCACUGAGAUCUAGGCUGAGCCCACCUCCGAUUCUGCAGAACCUUGACAAUCCUUGACAGAAGGCUCUUCCAGCCCACCCCUUGGGUCCUCGCCCAGAGCAGUUUCAUCUCUUCCCACCCGGCUACACUCUCCCACCCACCGCAUGGUUCCCUGCCCCUCACCUUCUCGGCUCAGCCCACUCACCCGGCUCUGACCGUCUCAAUGUGUGGGUGCCAGCAUGUACCCUCUUCACAUGAGCUUUGUUGAUUUCAUAACCAUAAAUAGAUAAAAUGUUCUGAAUAUCUCCCUGUGCAAGUAGAUUGGGGGAGUGAUCACAUAAUGAAAAGGCCUUGGGAGAAAGAAAACAGGCUUCGAAGAUGCAGCUGAACAAAAGACAGCCGCUGCUCAGACCAGGUCUACAUAAGGAUUAUGCUUCCACUCCACAGACGGGCAAACUCUAGACCUGGGCCUGGGGAGAUGCUUCAGAAUCUGUUAGAAAACUUUGGUGUGGUUUCAAACCCAAGAACAGUCUGGUAAAAAUGCAAGGAAGUAGGGAUGCUUGGGUGGUUCAGGCAGUUAAGCAUCUGCCUUUGGCUCGGGUCAUGAUCCCAGGGUCCUGGGA